GCAUCUAACUACCAUACAAGUUCAGACCAAUGGAAGAAAAGAGCAGCAAAAAUUGAACUGAAUGAAUCCCAAAAGCAAGAAAUUAAAGACGCCUUUAAUUUAUUUGAUAUUGAUGGGUCUGGAACCAUCGAUGUAAAAGAAGAUUGCAGUGUGGGCCUUAGGAUUUGAACCAAAGAAAGAAGAAAUUUAAAAAAUGGUAGCUGAAGUUGAUAAAGAAGGAAUUGGCACCAUUAGUUUUGAAGAUUUUUUUUUAGUAAAAAAGAUGAAAAAGAAGAAAUAUUGAAGACUUUCAAAUUAUUUGAUGAUGAUGAUACUGGAAGUAUAAUACUAACCGGUAUCAAGAGGUUUGCUAAGAAACCAGGGGAAAAUUUAAUUUUACAGGAAAUGCUUGAUGAAGCUGAUCAUGAUAGAGAUGGAGAAAUAAACGAGGAAGAUGUUUUGAGAGUGAUGAAAAAGACUACUCGUUAUU
rnacentral:lncRNA from 1 species